rnacentral:rRNA from 1 species
ACGGCGAGUGAAGCGGCAAAAGCUCAAAUUUGAAAUCUGCGUAAGCCGAGUUGUAAUUUGAAGAUGGCUACUUUGGUAAUGGCUCUUGUCUAUGUUCCUUGGAACAGGACGUCACAGAGGGUGAGAAUCCCGUGCGAUGAGAUGUCCAUUACCGUGUAAAGUGCUUUCGAAGAGUCGAGUUGUUUGGGAAUGCAGCUCUAAGUGGGUGGUAAAUUCCAUCUAAAGCUAAAUAUUGGCGAGAGACCGAUAGCGAACAAGUACAGUGAUGGAAAGAUGAAAAGAACUUUGAAAAGAGAGUGAAAAAGUACGUGAAAUUGUUGAAAGGGAAGGGCUUGAGAUCAGACUUGGUAUUUUGUAUGGCUUGCUUUCGGGCGGGUCCUCUGCAGUUUACUGGGCCAGCAUCGGUUUGGGUGGCAGGAUAAUAGCAUUGGAAUGUGGCUCUACUUCGGUGGAGUGUUAUAGCCUUUGUUGAUACUGCCUGCCUAGACCGAGGACUGCGUCUUUUGACUAGGAUGCUGGCAUAAUGAUCCUAAGCCGC